AACGAUGUAGAGACCUACAGAGUUGAAACAGUGAAACCUGGAAAGAUUGUCUGGCAGGAAGACCCUCGUUUACAAGACAGCAGUUCAGAAGAGGAAGAUGUUACUGAAGAAACAGAUCACAGAAAGUCCAGUCCUGGAGAAGCAUCAUUACUUGAGAAAGAGACCACUAGAUUUUUCUUUUUCUCUAAGAAUGAUGAACGACUUCAAGGUCAGUCCAUUUUUUUCAUCAAAUUACAUACAUAGAACAGGUAAUAAUACAGCUACAGUAAUUCACAUCCAGGAAUUUUGACCUUUCGUAAUGUCAUGUGGUUUAACCCCGUUUGUUCACACUGAUGAAUGUUAACUUGUAAAGCUGUCAAGGUCUGAGAGCUCCCCACUCACCACUUUCUUUGCCCGCUCAUUCUCAUCAACAAAGGGUUGUUUUGUUCCAAGGGCUUCCUUGGAUGUUAGACAUAUAAAACCCCUAAGUUUUAGUGCCAUAAAUUCCAUGUGAAAACUCAGGCUGUUGGGGAGCUCAUUUCUUAAAGCCUAGCAUAAACAAAGUUACAUAAUAGUAAAUGAUAUAUAUAAACAGUAAAAGCAAUAUUAUAUUUUUCAUUUGGAAAGAAAAAAUACUAAUUUUUGAAUACAGGUAGAAACUGAGGGAAAAGAAUGAUCUUAACUGGUAUUCGAGACCUUGAUAAUGCCAACACUUAGAAUAUUACCAAUUUUAGUAGUAGUUUGCUGCCUCAUCUUUCUUCUUUUUCCCCUAGUAGGUUCUGACUUAUUCUGGAGAGGAGUAGGAAGUAAUAUGAGCAGGAACUCUUGGGAGGCCAGAACAACCAACCUGCGUAUGGAUUGUCGAAAGAAACAUAAAGACGCAAAAAGGAAAAUGAAACCAAAAUAAUAAAUGUCAGUUGGUUUUGAUACUGAAUGUGAACAAGGCUCACUAAGGAAACUGACCCAGAAAACAGUUUUAGCUGACAAAGAAGAAAUUUCAGAGUGAAGGAAUUUUAAAAAUCUGGCUGACGGAAUAUCAUUCUGGUUGCCAUCUUUUUCUGUGGAACUCCUCUGCAUUUCUUCCUAAGUAAUUACUUCAAAAAUUAAAUUCAACUUCUUAUAAAGGAAGAACAAGAUAGUCCUUGAAAAUACUUUUUGUAUAUAAUCUCUUUGCCCUCUAUCCUGAGUAACUAAUGGACAUCUUCUCAUGCAAGGUUUACAUGAAGCCUUUUUUAAUAAAUGAGUCAAAGCACUUGUA
rnacentral:sRNA from 1 species